GCUAGGAGUAAUAGCACAUACCUGUAGUCCCAUCUACUUGGGAGGCUGAGGCAGGAGGAUCACUUGAGCCCAGGAGUAUGAGACCAGCUUGUGCAACAUAGGGAAACUCCUGUCUCUACAAAAAAUUAAAAAAUUAGCUGGGUGUGGUGGUGCACACCUGUGGUCAGCAUCAAUAUGGUGACUUCCCAGGAGUGAGGGGUCCAUCAGGCUGCCUAAGGUGGGGUAAACCGGCCCAGGUCAGAAAGGGAGCAGGUCAAACUCCCGCGCUGGUUAGUAGUGGGAUCGUACCUGUGAAUAACACUGCACUCCAGCCUGGGCAAUAUAGCAACAACCUGUCUUA
rnacentral:SRP_RNA from 1 species